CUAUCAUGACAGUCGAACGCUUCUUUCCUCCCGAGUGCUUGCACGUCAAUUGGAAAGAGGAGUGGCGGACGGGUGAGUAACACGUGGGUAACCUACCCAUCAGAGGGGGAUAACACUUGGAAACAGGUGCUAAUACCGCAUAACAGUUUAUGCCGCAUGGCAUAAGAGUGAAAGGCGCUUUCGGGUGUCGCUGAUGGAUGGACCCGCGGUGCAUUAGCUAGUUGGUGAGGUAACGGCUCACCAAGGCCACGAUGCAUAGCCGACCUGAGAGGGUGAUCGGCCACACUGGGACUGAGACACGGCCCAGACUCCUACGGGAGGCAGCAGUAGGGAAUCUUCGGCAAUGGACGAAAGUCUGACCGAGCAACGCCGCGUGAGUGAAGAAGGUUUUCGGAUCGUAAAACUCUGUUGUUAGAGAAGAACAAGGACGUUAGUAACUGAACGUCCCCUGACGGUAUCUAACCAGAAAGCCACGGCUAACUACGUGCCAGCAGCCGCGGUAAUACGUAGGUGGCAAGCGUUGUCCGGAUUUAUUGGGCGUAAAGCGAGCGCAGGCGGUUUCUUAAGUCUGAUGUGAAAGCCCCCGGCUCAACCGGGGAGGGUCAUUGGAAACUGGGAGACUUGAGUGCAGAAGAGGAGAGUGGAAUUCCAUGUGUAGCGGUGAAAUGCGUAGAUAUAUGGAGGAACACCAGUGGCGAAGGCGGCUCUCUGGUCUGUAACUGACGCUGAGGCUCGAAAGCGUGGGGAGCAAACAGGAUUAGAUACCCUGGUAGUCCACGCCGUAAACGAUGAGUGCUAAGUGUUGGAGGGUUUCCGCCCUUCAGUGCUGCAGCAAACGCAUUAAGCACUCCGCCUGGGGAGUACGACCGCAAGGUUGAAACUCAAAGGAAUUGACGGGGGCCCGCACAAGCGGUGGAGCAUGUGGUUUAAUUUCGAAGCAACGCGAAGAACCUUACCAGGUCUUGACAUCCCUUU
rnacentral:rRNA from 1 species